UACGGAGGGGGCAAGCGUUGUUCGGAGUUACUGGGCGUAAAGCGCGCGUAGGCGGUGCGGUAAGUCAGGGGUUAAAGGCUGCAGCUCAACUCCGGAAAGGCCUAUGAUACUGUCUGGCUUGAGGGCCGGAGAGGCUGGCGGAAUUCCCGGUGUAGGGGUGAAAUGCGUAGAGAUCAGGAGGAACACCGAUGGCGAAGGCAGCCCCCUGGGCCUGUACUGACGCUCAUGCACGAAAGCGUGGGUAGCAAACAGG
rnacentral:rRNA from 1 species